rnacentral:lncRNA from 1 species
UGCCUGCUGCUGUGUGAGACGUGGUUUUGCUUCUCCUCACCUUCUGCCAAGAUUGUGAGACCUCCCCAGCCAUGCGAACUGUGACAAAACUGAGGCUCAGAGGCCAAUGGCCUUGUUCAAGGUCACACGCCCACUAAAUGAGAGACCCGGAGACCUGGCAUCACACGCAUCCCUUGAAUGUUUAUGAAACACCCAUCAUAUGCCAGACCUUGUGCCAAGUGCUCAGGAUGCAAGAGAUAAAGAUUUGAGAAAUGCAUUGUGUGACUAAGGUGACAAAGAAACAACAGCAAUUCACUGGGCUAAGUGGUUUGUACAACAACCAGGAGAGAGCAGAUUAAUUCUGUCUAGGAGCUCAGGAUGGCACUUGAACCAGACUUUGAAAAAUGUGCACAGGAUUUUGCCAUCAGAGAAACAAGGUGAGGACAUGUUAAGCAGAGAGGACUUUGAACCAAAGCUCUGAAGCACAGAGGUCUAUGAUCUAUCAGUGGCAGCAGGUGAAGCUAGAGAAAGCUGGGACCAGAUUGGAAGAGGCCAGGCAGACUACCUGAAGGGGCUGGAUCUUACAUGAGAACACUGGGAAGCCCCUAAAAUUCUGUAAGCAGGG